rnacentral:rRNA from 1 species
UACGUAGGGUGCAGGCGUUAAUCGGAAUUACUGGGCGUAAAGCGUGCGCAGGCGGUUUGCUAAGACAGGUGUGAAAUCCCCCGGGCUUAACCUGGGAACUGCGCUUGUAACUGGCAAGCUUGAGUGUGGCAGAGGGGGGUGGAAUUCCACGUGUAGCAGUGAAAUGCGUAGAUAUGUGGAGGAAUACCGAUGGCGAAGGCAGCCCCCUGGGUCAAGACUGACGCUCAUGCACGAAAGCGUGGGGAGCAAACAGG